AUUUAAGACUUUGGGACAGUGGAUUUCUGACAAAGAGCUGUUGGACACUGCUUUCCCAGAAUUCUAGUAAAAGGAAGUUUCCUGGAUAAGAUAGUGUGGUAGAGAUAUGAGGACGCAGGUUGCUGGGUUAGGGAAAAAGUGAAUGGAUAUUGUGGGCAUGUAAGAGAAUGAAAUCAAGAUGACAAGGGGGCUAUCAUCAGAGACCUAG
rnacentral:lncRNA from 1 species